rnacentral:rRNA from 1 species
AAUGAACGUUGGCAGUGUGGAUUAGGCAUGCAAGUCGUGCGCGAAACGUAGCAAUACGUGGAGAGCGGCGAAAGGGAGAGUAAUACAUAGGUACGUACCCUCGGGUCUGGGAUAGCGGCGGGAAACUGCCGGUAAUACCAGAUAACGUCUCCGGACCAAAGGUGUGAUUCCACCUGGGGAGCGGCCUGUGGCCUAUCAGCUUGUUGGUGGGGUAACGGCCUACCAAGGCAAAGACGGGUAUGGGGCGUGAGAGCGUGCCCCCACUCACUGGGACUGAGAUACUGCCCAGACACCUACGGGUGGCUGCAGUCGAGAAUCUUCGGCAAUGGGCGCAAGCCUGACCGAGCGACACCGCGUGCGGGAUGAAGGCCUUCGGGUUGUAAACCGCUGUCGUAGGGGGAGGAAGGGCCUGUGAAGAACAGGACUUGACCGAUCCUAGGAGGAAGGGCCGGCUAAUCUCGUGCCAGCAGCCGCGGUAACAC